GCUCGUAGUCGGAUUUUGGGCGCGUGUGAACUGUCAGCCUCUGGUUGGACGGUGCGCGCGUGCCUUUCUGCUUGGGAGCCCCAUGGUGGUUAAUUCUGUCGUGGUGGGUCACAGGCCGUUUACUUUGAAAAAAUUANAGUGUUCAAAGCAGGCUGUUGCUUGAAUAGAUUAGCAUGGAAUAAUGGAAUAGGACCUUGGUGCUAUUUCGUUGGUUAUGGGACUGGGGUAAUGAUUAAUAGGGACAGUUGGGGCCGUUCAUAUUUCGUUGUCAGAGGUGAAAUUCUUGGAUUUACGAACGAUGAACUUGUGCGAAAGCAUUCGGCAAGGAUGUUUUCAUUGAUCAAGAACGAAAGUUAGGGGAUCGAAGACGAUCAGAUACCGUCGUAGUCUUAACCAUAAACUAUGCCAACUAGGGAUCAUUGAGUGUCAAUUUACGACCUCAUUGGCACCUUGUGAGAAAUCAAAGUUUUUGGGUUCCGGGGGGAGUAUGGUCGCAAGGCUGAAACUUAAAGGAAUUGACGGAAGGGCACCACCAGGAGUGGAGCCUGCGGCUUAAUUUGACUCAACACGGGGAAACUUACCAGGUCCNGACAUAGUCAGGAUGGACAGAUUGAAAGCUCUCUCUUGAUUCUAUGGGUGGUGGUGCAUGGCCGUUCUUAGUUGGNGGAGUGAUUUGUCUGGUUAAUUCCGUUAACGAAC
rnacentral:rRNA from 1 species